GACUAUGAGAAAGGAAACAGCUGUUUAUCCCAAGGUAUGGGAACACCUACAACCACCCCAUGGAUACCUGGAACUUGGAGUGUAUAGAGGUGGUAUUUCCAGAAGAACAACUCUGGGACCACAGUCACUGUGAAGACCAUGGUGAAGAAGGACCAAUGGGAUGCCGUUUGAUCCAAGGGAUUUAAGGGCUACAAAAAGACACAUACUUGUCUAUGAAGUCUUAAAUAAUGGAGGAAGACUGGCCUUAUGCUACUGUGAAAUCUGGACUUUUUGCCUAAAUGAAAGAAAUACAUCUUCCCAAGGAAUGCAGAAGACUUGCACAGCUCAGCGUCAUGUGAAGAGGAAAUCCUCAAGCCUUAGUGUGAGAAGAUGUCCUCGACCCUUAGUGUUUUAUUGAAAGGAAGCCCUUGUACCUGACCACUCUGUCAGUGCCCUUUAGGGGAACCUUUCACUGAGCAGUCCUGCUGGACUGGAGGGUAUUCUGACUGACUUAUUCAGGGACACACCCCAACAACACAAGGGAGGCCCCUCAGUAGGUCUUACCACUUACGACCCCUCAGUGGCUCUGACACUUUGUUUGAGAAUGUUACUCAUUGCCAGGAACUGCCAGCACCCAUGAAAGACUCACACCAACAGUUUACAGGAUAACAUUCUGUAGUAAUAUAAAAUUGUAACAGGUUAAGGUUCCAGGAUUUCUGGUGAGAGUAUCUGACUGAAAAAAAUGUAUUUAAAACAAAAUACAGAGAAGGUUUCAUCUCCAGUAAAAAUGAUGAGCACACAGAAUGUGGUUCUAAACCAAUAGGUGCCCCCGUGGAGGAAGAAACAGGUUCAGCCUGUUACAAUUAGGCUAUAACGAACCAAGUUUAAUGAAGGAGAACGAUUUUGCCACAGUUGUUGGCUCAGCAGCAGGACAUCUUCUCUUAUCUCCCUUAGUGAACAAGUGCUAUGUGGUUUAUCAGCUGCAAAAACUUGUACCAUCAGGUCCCCCUCCCUGCAAGAAUUUCCACAGAGACUGGCCACAGACUCUGCUCCAUCCCUGCCACCUGUGUUCCAUCCCCCCCACUCCCUUAGCAAGUGCUUAUAAUUGCAGAUCAUGUGUAUGAGGAAACAUCGUGAGAUAGGCUUCAAGCAUGCCAACCCCAUUCCAUCCAAGGAGUAGAAGCCUCAUUUUACCCCAUAAUUUCCAUCCUCUUAUUUUACUCCUAGUCAUCUCUCCACACUCAGUAAGGACCUUAUGGUCAAACUAAAGAGAAGGAUAUGCACAUGCCAUGUAACCUGGGAUGAGUAUCUUAGGAUGAAUACAGUGACAAUUCCAACAUGGGUAAGGAUGGGAUUGUGUAAAUUAAAGUGCAGCUGGAGGUGAAUUUGGUUAGGAAUGCAAAGAAUAGUAAGAAAAGAAUUUACAACCAUGUUGGUCAGAAAAGGAAAAUGGAAUAAAAUACAUUCCCCU